UGGGAAUAUUGGACAAUGGGGGCAACCCUGAUCCAGCAAUGCCGCGUGUGUGAAGAAGGUUUUCGGAUUGUAAAGCACUUUCGACGGGGACGAUGAUGACGGUACCCGUAGAAGAAGCCCCGGCUAACUUCGUGCCAGCAGCCGCGGUAAUACGAAGGGGGCUAGCGUUGCUCGGAAUGACUGGGCGUAAAGGGCGUGUAGGCGGUUUGUACAGUCAGAUGUGAAAUCCCCGGGCUUAACCUGGGAGCUGCAUUUGAUACGUGCAGACUAGAGUGUGAGAGAGGGUUGUGGAAUUCCCAGUGUAGAGGUGAAAUUCGUAGAUAUUGGGAAGAACACCGGUGGCGAAGGCGGCAACCUGGCUCAUAACUGACGCUGAGGCGCGAAAGCGUGGGGAGCAAACA
rnacentral:rRNA from 1 species